UGGCUAACUCCUACGGGAGGCAGCAGUGGGGAAUAUUGCACAAUGGGCGAAAGCCUGAUGCAGCGACGCCGCGUGGGGGAUGACGGUCUUCGGAUUGUAAACCCCUUUCAGUAGGGACGAAGCGCAAGUGACGGUACCUGCAGAAGAAGCACCGGCUAACUACGUGCCAGCAGUCGCGGUAAUACGUAGGGUGCGAGCGUUGUCCGGAAUUACUGGGCGUAAAGAGCUCGUAGGCGGUUUGUCACGUCGUCUGUGAAAUCCCUCGGCUUAACCGGGGGCGUGCAGGCGAUACGGGCAGACUUGAGUACUACAGGGGAGACUGGAAUUCCUGGUGUAGCGGUGAAAUGCGCAGAUAUCAGGAGGAACACCGGUGGCGAAGGCGGGUCUCUGGGUAGUAACUGACGCUGAGGAGCGAAAGCAUGGGUAGCGAACAGGAUUAGAAACCCCAGUAGUCCAGCUGG
rnacentral:rRNA from 1 species